UCUUGCCAAUGUUCAUGAGUGUUGCCCAAUGUGUUUAACCGGCAUGUCCGCGUAAAGCACUCGGCAAUAAAAGAACAGUUACAACAUCAACGGCUACCUUAUGUCCUUCGUAACACAUAU